rnacentral:rRNA from 1 species
CAGUCGCAUCUGUUGGGAUUCAGCCUGGCUUCUGCCUGGUGUAUUUCCUUUCCGAUGGGUCAGCAUCAGUUUUGACCAAGGGAAAAAGACAUUUGGAAUGUGGCUGUCUUCGGGCAGUGUUAUAGCCUUGUGUUGUAUGUCUUGGUUGGGACUGAGGACCGCAGCGCGCCUUCUUGGCAUUGGCUUCGGCCCUUUUCCGCGCUAAGGAUUCUGGCUUAAUGGCUUUAAACGACCCGUCUUGAAACACGGACCAAGGAGUCUAACAUAUAUG